rnacentral:rRNA from 1 species
AUUGAACGCUGGCGGCAUGCCUUACACAUGCAAGUCGAACGGCAGCACGGGUGCUUGCACCUGGUGGCGAGUGGCGAACGGGUGAGUAAUACAUCGGAACGUACCUUAUCGUGGGGGAUAACGCAGCGAAAGCUGUGCUAAUACCGCAUACGCCCUGAGGGGGAAAGCGGGGGAUCGAAAGACCUCGCGCGAUUAGAGCGGCCGAUGCCUGAUUAGCUUGUUGGUGGGGUUAAAGCCUACCAAGGCGACGAUCAGUAGCUGGUCUGAGAGGACGAUCGGCCACACUGGAACUGAGACACGGCCCAGACUCCUACGGGAGGCAUCAGUGUGGAAUUUUGGACAAGGGGGGCAACCCUGAUCCAGCGAUGCCGCGUGAGUGAAGAAGGCCUUCGGGUUGUAAAGCUCUUUUGUCAGGGAAGAAACACCGGCUCUAACACAGUCCGGGAAUUACGGUACCUGAAGAAUAAGCACCGGCUAACUACGUGCCAGCCGCCGCCGUAA